rnacentral:rRNA from 1 species
UACGCAGGGCGCAAGCGUUAUCCGGAAUUAUUGGGCGUAAAGAGCUCGUAGGCGGUUUGUCGCGUCUGCCGUGAAAGGCCGGGGCUCAACUCCGGAUCUGCGGUGGGUACGGGCAGACUAGAGUGAUGUAGGGGAGACUGGAAUUCCUGGUGUAGCGGUGAAAUGCGCAGAUAUCAGGAGGAACACCGAUGGCGAAGGCAGGUCUCUGGGCCAAUACUGACGCUGAGAAGCGAAAGCAUGGGGAGCAAACAGGAUUAGAAACCCGAGUAGUCC